GGUUUCACACUGCAUGUUUGUAGUUGUGAUAUGCUUCUAAUCUACUUUGUGUCACUGAUUCAUAAUGUGAACCAGCAGAAGCUGUGACCUGACAUACAACGUUUCCGCUGUGUGUCUUUCGACGGGCAUCAAUCAUUUUCUCAGACACACUGGACAUACCAUAAUAUCGCACACUGUUGCUGCAUUAAGUAUUACUUACUCAUUUUUUGAACCCUGUUUCUAUGUGUUCAAGUAUAGUACUGUAACACAUUGUACAAGGAGGUUGCAAAGUGACUGCUCACUGUAUAAUCAUUGCUCACGUUACUGUGUUUUUAAAUAAUUAAACAAAAUAAAGCAGAGACAGAUGGAUUCUCCGUUUACAACACACUCUAAAUGUGAGCCUGUCUACUAUACGUAUUGGCUACGGUACAGAUAAGGGUGAUCCAAGAGGCUCGAAACGGUUACUAAGGCUGACAGAAACAAUGCUGGAACGAGGUACAAGACGCUACGAACUGGCAAAGGACUAGGGUGUCACGAUCUGGGUUUUGUGUCUAGUUGUUCCUGUUUUAUUUUGGUAAUCUCCUGGUUUCUGUUCCUGUUUUAGCUUUACUUCCGGGUUUUGUUCUUGUCACAGCUGUCCCUGCUUCACCUGAUCGUUAUCCACACCUGCACUGUAUCAGUAAUCAAGUCACGUAUAUUUAACCACCACCAGUGUCCUCAGUUCCCCGCCAGAUCGUUGUUUGUGUGCUUACCGUUGUUCCCAGUUCGCUGUUCCUGUCCGUCCGUGUUUUGUGUACCCCGUUCUCUGCUCUGCACGUUACCGAACUCGUUUGCCUGCCUGACCACGAUUCUCCGCCUGUCGAAUUGGUACUGGAUGCUGGAUUUUGUGUAUGAACCGUGCCUGUUCCUGACGCUGCCUCUGCCAACCUGGAAUAAACCACCGUCUGAUCACCGUCAACCUGUGUUUGCUGUGCAUUUGGGUCCUCACCCGAGCGUUCCGUGACAUAGGGCGUACACUGAAGACUAAAUACACAAAUGAUAAUGGCUAAUGCACAACAGCUGAGAAAUCAGAUAACCGGAGGUAAAGCAUGAGAUAAACAUGGAGAAACGAAAAAACGGACAUCACUACAAAAUAAAACAGGACAUAAUACCCCA
rnacentral:lncRNA from 1 species